UCAUGGCUCAGAGCGAACGCUGGCGGCAGGCCUAACACAUGCAAGUCGAACGGACCCUUCGGGGUUAGUGGCGGACGGGUGAGUAACACGUGGGAACGUGCCUUUAGGUUCGGAAUAGCUCCUGGAAACGGGUGGUAAUGCCGAAUGUGCCCUUCGGGGGAAAGAUUUAUCGCCUUUAGAGCGGCCCGCGUCUGAUUAGCUAGUUGGUGAGGUAAUGGCUCACCAAGGCGACGAUCAGUAGCUGGUCUGAGAGGAUGACCAGCCACAUUGGGACUGAGACACGGCCCAAACUCCUACGGGAGGCAGCAGUGGGGAAUCUUGCGCAAUGGGCGAAAGCCUGACGCAGCCAUGCCGCGUGAACGAUGAAGGUGUUAGGAUUGUAAAAUUCUUGCAACCGCGGGCGCGACAAGACGCUA
rnacentral:rRNA from 1 species